CUACUCUGAAACCUGUCGUUAUGCUUCUAUGUCACUUAGAGGCAAAAUUUUCAAAAUAACCUAUCUGCCAUUUUGAGGUAGUUUUAAUCAUUUUCCAAAGAUCAAAACAAUAUCAGUAUGUUUUUUCUGUGCUGGCUGUUAUGAUUUGUAGUUUCCUGUUGGGCUCAAAGGAUGCGGUAUUUAUGCAGUAUUUCUAGGAAGGUUUUUGGUUGAGAAACUUACAGGCAAAGUCUUGCGAUGUGCUCUGAUGUUGUGUCUACCUUUAACAGCUGAUGCUCUGACCAGCCUCAAGAACUUUUUUCUGUGAUGGUACUAAAAAAUCUCACAAUCUGAAUUGUUUUCCUCUCUUUCUUUUCAUCUCAGGCAUCCCUGUACGGCAUUUACUGGGCCAGCACAAGUACAGUAACAUCUUAGAAAGUAGUGAAAUUGCAUCCAAACUCCGGUUCUGAUCAGGGACUAGUCUCUACCUGCUGUUCAAGAAACUCCCUGUCUCUCCCUUCUGUGUGUUUUCAAUAUGGCAUUGUAUUGUGACAGCAAGACCUGCCUCUGAAUUGCUUAUCUUUUAUCAUUGUUAUGAAAGCAAGCUAGGGUGAUUGGAUUUUGAGAACACAUUAUGGUAUUAACCCUGAGUAAGCAGGGAAGGAAACAAGGACUUAGCACUUCUUCAGGAAUCAAGUAGCUAUUAAAUAAAACUAUUAACAUACUGAAAAACUACAUAUCCUGGAAAUUAUAAGUAAUCUGGUAAAUUCCAAAAAUUAUAAAACCACAGUUUGAAUAAUCCAUAGCUGGAUAGGACCCUUAAAAGAAAAAAAAUAUUGGUCAAAGGUGACAAACCUGAGUGUCCAAAGCUAACUCCAUAUUUAGAUGCCUCAGUAAAAGCUGCCUGACUUUCAAAGAUGCUGAGUGCUUCUAGCUGUCUUUAACCUCAGUAGGAUUUGUUUUGUGAAAAUCUGGCCACCUUUAUUUCAGUGCCUAAAUAUGGAUUUAGGAGUCAAAGUUAGAAGUUCAUGUUUGAAAGUUUUGGCUACUACUUUCAACUUCCAAAUAAGGAUACAUUCUCUCUAGGAAUCUUUAUUAAAGCCAAACUUUUCAAGCUUUGGUAUUUAUACUGUACAUUUCUGUCACUGUUACAAAUGUGGACCCUGGCCCUGCAGUUGGCCCUGUAUGGGGCAGAUCCUGGUGCCUAUAUGGGACCCCAGUGAAUGAACAUCUGUGAGGGAAGAAGAGUCUGUCCACACUGAUCCAGUUGCAGGGUCAGGGCCAGGGCCAUAGGAGUUUCACUUAAUGUUCUGUGUAAAUUAUCAGAGUUGUCUUCAAUGGCUGUGUUUCAUUUAGAACUGCAAGAUUAUCAGUUACUCUCAUUGGAAGUGAAGCAUCAUACUGGAAAACACUUCUGGAUAGAAAUAUUAUCCCUACUAACUGUAUAGGCCAACAUUUACAAAUGAGCGCUUAAAGUUAGGCAUGAGGGAGAGAUUUUCAAAAGCGCCUAAGGAGUUUAGGAGCAGGUGUCCUAUUGACUUUCAGUGGUGCUUAUGCUCCUAAAUUCCUUAGGUGUUUUUGAAAGUCUCCUCCUAAUUCCUUACUAAGCGGCACUGAACACCUUUGAAAAUCAGGCUACUUACUUAGUGCCUAAGUGUGGAUUUAUCUUUUAAGUAUUCGCUUAAUUUUAGCUCUCCCUCCCUCCACCCCCAACCUGGUUUUACAAUUCUGGUAUGUACAUCUGAUAGCUUGUAUACAUUCAAAAGUCAUUUUUAGCUUCUAAAUAUAUGUACCACCUAUGGAAUAUUCUCAUUCCUGGUCGCACCUUAACUGGAGACAGGUAGACCUUCCCCCACUUUCCAUGUUUUUUGAUCAAGUACAGCAGAAUUAGACAGGAAGAAAUACCAGGAGUGAAAAUUCUGCAAGGUGAUCACCUUGGAGAAGCAGAAUUACAGAAGUAAUGAGCACCUGUUGCUCCCAUCGACUUUGGAGUGGAGGACUCUCAGCACGUAUGAAAAUCAAACCAUAGAUGUGUGAAGUUGAGCUCUUCAGAAUGGAUGCAUCCAAAAUGAUUUGCUGCUUUUGCAAACGUAGGCCUACGGGACUUGUUUAUAGCAACAUAAGACGUCAAGAAUAAAACCCAGGUGUUCUAAUACAGAGUCCCCUGUUCUAACCCCAAGAUCAGAAUCUUCCUAAUUGAAAUUCAAAUUAUUCUUAAUUUAUUCAUAACAUCAGAGCAUGUUAAGCCUAUCGGACUAGCUUCUCCACUACAACUGAGGUGUGCAUAGUAUAGCUCAGGAGAGGGUGUGUACUCCUCGAUUCCUGGGCAGGAUCUGCACUUGGCUAGCUCUCCAACAUAAAGCUGCUCUACACCCUCAAAGCUGCUCUACAUUUUUUUGCCAGCUGCUAGUGGCUAAAGGGGCAAUAUUGUCGCUGAGGUGUUCAGCCAAAGAUAGGGAAGCUGUAGCCAUGUCUGCCUUUUUCCAGCCAUGCCUCCUAUUUCAGCAACAGGAAGGUCAUAGGGUAGGGUGACCAUAUGUCGUGAUUUUAUAGGGACAGUCCCGAUAUUUGGGACUUUUUCUUAUAUUGGUACCUAUUACCCCACACUCCCUCUCCCAAUUUUUCAUAUUUGCUGUCUGGUCACCCUGUCAUAGGGGCUAUGUUGAUCUCGUGUGCUGCAGGCUUCCCUUACACUGGGAUGAUUCUCUGUGGUGUGCUGUGCCAUCUUUCGGGCAUCCACCAGCAGUGUGGCGCAAAGCAGCUACACGCCACAUCAAAAGAUGGACUGUAGAACUUAACUUUUUUAGAAUACAGACUUAAUUCCUUUGUUCUCUCCCAAAAUUUCUGCUUAGUAAAGCACAGUUCCCAGAUAUGUUGCUUUCUCUUCACAAUCAACACCAACACCUGAAGGUAGUUCUAAGUCAGCACUCACAGGGAACAGAACAAAAUGCAAGGGAUAAGAGAGAGUGCAAGAAAUGCCCAGUUUUAUUGCGAUGUACAUGAGUUUUAGCAGUAUGUAUUAUUCAAAUCUGUUUCAACUAAGAAAAGCCUGACUGACUGCAUAUUUACCUGUAGCAGUGGCUUCUGACUGAAACCAUUGGCUGUCUGGAAGAAAUAAUCAAAACAUAAAUAUCUUAGAGAAACACUGACAACUAUUAUCAUUAUUUCUUCUGCUGCUAGUUCCUGUUGUAUCUAUUGUUGUGGUGACCAGAGAUUAAACCACCAGGAGAGAAUUCCGCAAAACAGCCUGUGCUCAGCACCUUUGGCAGUCCAGUCAAGAGCAGACCUUGGCUGCAAUGGGAAUGAGACCAGAUUUCGGCCAUCAGCACACAGCCUCCAAUGCUAAAAUUCCCAUUGAUUAGAGUGGGGGCAGAGUGAACCUGACGGGAGUGCUUUUGAAAAUCCUACUCUUAGAGUAGACAGGGAAAGCCACGAUUUGCACCAGUACAUCUUAGCCUGGUUUCAAGCAGGGAUACUCUCUAUCAGUG